rnacentral:lncRNA from 1 species
CUUCUACCCAUAGCUUAUGCCUUAGCUGAUACUAAGGAUAUGCAUGGACCACCAUCAACACCCAUGGGGAUCUGCUAGGUUCACAUAUAACAAAGACAAUUUGCUAUGAACAAUUAUUAGAAGCAUCAAUUCUAACAAUACCAUGUUACCAAAUACCAAUAAUACCUUCCUUUAAAUGCUGGGACUCAACACAAUAGGAACCCCAACC